rnacentral:rRNA from 1 species
UACGAAGGGGGCUAGCGUUGCUCGGAAUGACUGGGCGUAAAGGGCGCGUAGGCGGAUUGUACAGUCAGGCGUGAAAUUCCCGGGCUCAACCUGGGGGCGGCGCUUGAGACGUGCGAUCUUGAGUGGGGAAGAGGGUCGUGGAAUUCCCAGUGUAGAGGUGAAAUUCGUAGAUAUUGGGAAGAACACCGGUGGCGAAGGCGGCGACCUGGUCCUUGACUGACGCUGAGGCGCGAAAGCGUGGGGAGCAAACAGG